UUUUUGUAGCUGUGGCUUAAAUAAUAGCUCAAGAUUUCAAGAAAAAGAAAUAAUACCCAGGAGAGUCUCAAUCUCCAUUGUGCUUACCAUUGAUAAGUUUUGAAUGGCAGAAGUCAGAGCGCAACAUGUUUGGUUUACUUUCCUAUCCCAGAAGCUGUGCUGCGAAGGGAUAGCCCAGAGCGGAGCUGGAGAAUUCUCUCUGCUGCCUCUGUAUGCCAAAGGGUUUGCUUUUUUUCUUGCAUGGAAGAAGUAAUUGUAGUACCACAAGGCAUAUCACAGGAGGGCCUACCUGGUAGUGUUUAAGUCAUGUCUACUGAAGAAGAGACUGAUGGGACUUGAAAUCAAGAAGUUAACAUUGGUUUAACAGAAAUUAAAUGUAACUAAUGAGUGAAAUAAUGAACAGCUGGAUCCUCUAGAAGGAGAUGGUUAAGAGAGGAGGAUUAAAAGUUAAACAUUGUGGAGCUUCAGUUCCUGACAUGGAAGUGUAAGCACAUAUCAACACUUCUGGGUUACCAGGGACUCCAAUGGGAAACGGGCUUUCUUGUUUCUGCUCCUCACAUUCUUUCUCCACCACUUCCUACCUGUGCUGUUUUCCUCCUAUUUCUUUUUUCUCUGCUAGCUUUUCAUGGGAUCCUGAGGCCAGCUACCUUGGAUGGUAUCACGGUAACAAGGUAAGAUUGGCCACUGGCUCUUCCUGGCCUAAGAAGGACUGGUGAUGGAGGGAGAAGGGGUGAGGCUGCAGCCUUGGGUUGGAGCCCAAACCAAUCGUCAGAGUCAACCUGCCGGCUCAGAUUGAUCAGUAUGUAGAUACUCUUGACUCCUUAUAUUGUGAUACCAGUAUCUAAAGCUGUAUUUCCCUCCCUUCUUUGUAGGUUGCCUCUUUUUUUCUAGCUCUGUGUCUUUCUCUCCAUUUAAAACAACGGGAAAGUAGCCACCAUGGGCAGAGGGGCCCACUUGAAAUUCAGGAGCAUUGAGAGGGCCUUUCUGACAAGCCUAGUUGUCAUUGCCAGACAUAUGCAGGAACAGCAUUUUAAACUCCUUUUGCAUCAAACUUUCAUACAGAAAUAUCAUUCUGAAGAGAAAUACAUGGAGCCUGUCUUUAUUUCUGUGAUCUUACAUUUGAAACAAAACUAGUUUUAAAUCCCUUCCACUUGCUCAGUGGUUUCAUACACUCACUAUGUGCUAAGAAGUAGAAAAGACAAACUGAAACCCUUAGAAAUACCUAGAGUGAUUCAAUAUUAUUCUGUGUUUCUCUUGCAUUUAUUUUAAACCUAUAUUUUAUUUUCCUUUGCUCCCACAAAUACCAUCUGUGCAUCUGGGUGGGGUACAUGCUCAAUCUGGGAAAUCUGCUUUACCAGCUUUAGUCAAACUCUGACUGCCAGCUCUCUGGAAGUGUGUUGAAGUCAAACAGCUCUUGCAUUUCUCCAGGCCAUGCUGUAGAGAGAUAUACUGUACCUGUUGUACAGCUGUAAAUUUUAAAAGGUUAGCUUAUUUUCAGGAGAACUAAUAAACGAAAAGGAGUGUAUUAGUUGAACGUAUAACUGAGCUAAACUGAAUUUUCACCUUUUAAAACAUGCACAUGUGGAUUUUGGACUGCUCUUAUCAGGUUCUGUUACAAAAUCAUAAAUCUGUAACUGAUGAAAGGACUGGCUGUUAUCAGCAGGUAUGCUACUUUUGACCUGGUGAAAGUGCAGGAAAGGCUAGUCCAUGUGAGACAUACAAAAUGAGGUCAAACCAACGUCUUCUAGGCUUCAUUUCUGUUCCUUAUGCCUAUUAUUCCCACCACUAGUCUUAGGCGAAUGAAAAAGGUACAAGUUUUCUUCUCUCUGCCAAGAGAGAAGAAAAUUCCUGGCAUUUUGUAUUCUUACUUCUCCAAAGUACUUUGUGUAUCUUUGAAAUGGCUCUAAUACUUGACCGUGAGGUACUUUAAAAUGCUAGCUGACAUAGCUUGACUUAGUUAGCUGAUUUUGUCUCUGAGUGAAUUUCAUGGGCUGCUUCAUUUUCAGAAGUGUAAACAUGUAAGCGAUUCUUCAGUUUAUUUUUUGACUCUAUGAGUAAGUGCUUAUGUGGCUUAUAGCCUGAGUUACUUUGUCCUGGUUCUCAUGGCUGCAGACAAUUGUGCUGAAGGCAGCUAUGUCUCUUCCCAGUUACUUACAGAAACAAAUUCAAUCUAGAUUUUUGGUGGAAAAUGUUUGUAGUGUAUGUCCUUUCUAAAAGCAAAAAAUCAAAAGCAAAACUUUAAAAAUACCCUUCUAAAAGUAGCUAUGAUGUUGUCUGUUAUUAAUCAAACUAACACGGUUUUUAUUUCAGGGCUGAAGUUUAGGAAGAACUUUUCUCUUUUCCAAAACUUGUCUUGCCGACUCAGGUGACACAUCAAGUGCUUUGUGAAAGGUUGUAUUAACAUACUUUAAAGUACUCUCAUAAUUAAAUAUCUCCAGCUGUUGGACACGUAGAAAAAUACGUCUUUGGGAUUCACUUUAAGUGAUUUUUUCAAAAUUCCGAAUCUUUAUUAGUAACUCCCCCUCAAAGAUUUUGAAGGCUAAAAUCGAUCAUUAGCUCCUUCAGCCUGACCUCUAGUGGAAAAUAUGCCAUGGAAUGACUGUCCUUCUGCUGAGGUGAGUUUAAUCA